rnacentral:rRNA from 1 species
AAUGNNCUGGCGGCAGGCUACACAUGCAAGUCGAGCGGUAGAGAGAAGCUUGCUUCUCUUGAGAGCGGCGGACGGGUGAGUAAUGCCUAGGAAUCUGCCUGGUAGUGGGGGAUAACGUUCGGAAACGAACGCUAAUACCGCAUACGUCCUACGGGAGAAAGCAGGGGACCUUCGGGCCUUGCGCUAUCAGAUGAGCCUAGGUCGGAUUAGCUAGUUGGUGAGGUAAUGGCUCACCAAGGCGACGAUCCGUAACUGGUCUGAGAGGAUGAUCAGUCACACUGGAACUGAGACACGGUCCAGACUCCUACGGGAGGCAGCAGUGGGGAAUAUUGGACAAUGGGCGAAAGCCUGAUCCAGCCAUGCCGCGUGUGUGAAGAAGGUCUUCGGAUUGUACAGCACUCUUCAANUUUGNGAGAGAAGGGCAGAUACCUAAUACGU